rnacentral:rRNA from 1 species
UACGAGGGGGCGAGCGUUGUUCGGAAUUAUUGGGCGUAAAGGGCGCGUAGGCGGUGCGGUAAGUCACCUGUGAAACCUCUGGGCUUAACCCGGAAAGGUCAGCCGAUACUGCGGGGCUAGAGUGCAGAAGGGGCAACUGGAAUUCUCGGUGUAGCGGUGAAAUGCGUAGAUAUCGAGAGGAACACCUGCGGCGAAGGCGGGUACUGGGCUGACACUGACGCUGAGGCGCGAAAGCUAGGGGGAGCGAACGGG